rnacentral:rRNA from 1 species
UACGUAGGUGGCAAGCGUUAUCCGGAAUUAUUGGGCGUAAAGCGCGCGCAGGCGGUUUCUUAAGUCUGAUGUGAAAGCCCACGGCUCAACCGUGGAGGGUCAUUGGAAACUGGGGAACUUGAGUGCAGAAGAGAAAAGCGGAAUUCCACGUGUAGCGGUGAAAUGCGUAGAGAUGUGGAGGAACACCAGUGGCGAAGGAGGCUUUUUGGUCUGUAACUGACGCUGAGGCGCGAAAGCGUGGGGAGCAAACAGG